rnacentral:rRNA from 1 species
GAUGAACGCUGGCGGCGUGCCUAAUACAUGCAAGUCGAGCGAACGGACGAGAAGCUUUCUCCUCUGAUGUUAGCGGCGGACGGGUGAGUAACACGUGGAUAACCUACCUAUAAGACUGGGAUAACUUCGGGAAACCGGAGCUAAUACCGGAUAAUAUUUUGAACCGCAUGGUUCAAAAGUGAAAGACGGUCUUGCUGUCACUUAUAGAUGGAUCCGCGCUGCAUUAGCUAGUUGGGAAGGUAACGGCUUACCCAGGCAACGAUGGAUAGCCGACCUGAGCGGGUGGUCGGCCACACUGGAAGUGAGACACGGCCCAGACUCCUACGGGAGGCAGCAGUAGGGAAUCUUCCGCGAUGGGCGAAAGCCUGACGGAGCAACGCCGCGUGAGUGAUGAAGGUCUUCGGAUCGUAAAACUCUGUUAUUAGGGAAGAACAUAUGUGUAAGUAACUGUGCACAUAUUGACGGUACCUAAUCAGAAAGCCACGGCUAACUACGUG